rnacentral:rRNA from 1 species
GUCCUAGCCGUAAACGUUGGGUGCUAGGUGUGGGCGGAUAUCGACCCCGUCCGUGCCGAAGCUAACGCAUUAAGCACCCCGCCUGGGGAGGUACGGCCGCAAGGCUAAAACUCAAAGGAAUUGACGGGGCCCCGCACAAGCGGCGGAGCAUGCGGCUUAAUUCGAUGCAACGCGAAGAACCUUACCUGGGUUUGACAUGCAGGGUGGAACCCGUGAAAGCGGGCGCUCUUCGGAGCCUGUACAGGUGGUGCAUGGCUGUCGU